ACCCAAGCAGGUCUCUUCACCUCUACCAUCACCGCCCCAAAAUCCAACAAGCUUCCAUGGAAGCCCACCUCUUCCUUCUCCACUCCAAAGCUUGUGGCUCUGUCCAAAAGAUCUCUCAAAAUUGCAGCAGCAGCUGAAGAGAAAACUGAAGCAGCUCCAACGAAAGAGGCUGCUCCAGUUGGCUUCACUCCACCUGAACUAGACCCAAACACACCCUCUCCAAUCUUCAGCGGCAGCACUGGAGGCUUACUGCGGAAGGCACAGGUCGAAGAGUUCUAUGUCAUUACAUGGGAUUCACCAAAAGAGCAGAUCUUUGAGAUGCCAACUGGAGGAGCAGCUAUCAUGAGGCAAGGACCUAAUCUGCUGAAAUUGGCCAGAAAGGAACAGUGUUUGGCUCUUGGUACUAGAUUGAGAUCUAAGUACAAGAUCAAAUACCAGUUUUAUAGGGUUUUUCCUAAUGGAGAGGUCCA
rnacentral:lncRNA from 1 species